CUGCCCGCGACGUCGCGAGAAGUCCACUGAACCUUAUCAUUUAGAGGAMGGAUAAGUCGUAACAAGGUUUCCGUAGGUGAACCUGCGGAAGGAUCAUUG
rnacentral:rRNA from 1 species